rnacentral:lncRNA from 1 species
AUGGGUUUCUCAAUUCUUUGAAACUAAAGAGCUACGACACUACAGCAGUAAUUGUCCUACAUCUUUCCCUCAAAUAAUUUUUUUUUUUACACUCUGUGGAAGGCUACCAAACGAUGACAGCAACACUUUGUCUACUCUUCAAUUGGGAAUGGAAGGUUAUUGCAUCCACAGUAGCAACCAUCCCAAGUGUCUCCCUCAAAUGAUGUUUUGUCAGUAGGAAGUAGAAGGUUGCCUAAAAUAAGAUAGCAACCCUCCCAUACCCCCGAUGAGAGACCAAACAUGGUUUCUUACAUGAUGUUUUAAGAAAUUGAAAAGUUGCCAGAUUUUGGCCAUCAACUUUCUAGCAAACUAAUGAGGG